rnacentral:rRNA from 1 species
CAAGUCGAACGGUAGCAGGAAACAGCUUGCUGUUUCGCUGACGAGUGGCGGACGGGUGAGUAAUGUCUGGGAAACUGCCUGAUGGAGGGGGAUAACUACUGGAAACGGUAGCUAAUACCGCAUAACGUCGCAAGACCAAAGAGGGGGACCCUCGGGCCUCUUGCCAUCGGAUGUGCCCAGAUGGGAUUAGCUUGUUGGUGGGGUAACGGCUCACCAAGGCGACGAUCCCUAGCUGGUCUGAGAGGAUGACCAGCCACACUGGAACUGAGACACGGUCCAGACUCCUACGGGAGGCAGCAGUGGGGAAUAUUGCACAAUGGGCGCAAGCCUGAUGCAGCCAUGCCGCGUGUAUGAAGAAGGCCUUCGGGUUGUAAAGUACUUUCAGCGGGGAGGAAGGGAGUAAAGUUAAUACCUUUGCUCAUUGACGUUACCCGCAGAAGAAGCACCGGCUAACUCCGUGCCAGCAGCCGCGGUAAUACGGAGGGUGCAAGCGUUAAUCGGAAUUACUGGGCGUAAAGCGCACGCAGGCGGUUUGUUAAGUCAGAUGUGAAAUCCCCGGGCUCAACCUGGGAACUGCAUCUGAUACUGGCAAGCUUGAGUCUCGUAGAGGGGGGUAGAAUUCCAGGUGUAGCGGUGAAAUGCGUAGAGAUCUGGAGGAAUACCGGUGGCGAAGGCGGCCCCCUGGACGAAGACUGACGCUCAGGUGCGAAAGCGUGGGGAGCAAACAGGAUUAGAUACCCUGGUAGUCCACGCCGUAAACGAUGUCGACUUGGAGGUUGUGCCCUUGAGGCGUGGCUUCCGGAGCUAACGCGUUAAGUCGACCGCCUGGGGAGUACGGCCGCAAGGUUAAAACUCAAAUGAAUUGACGGGGGCCCGCACAAGCGGUGGAGCAUGUGGUUUAAUUCGAUGCAACGCGAAGAACCUUACCUGGUCUUGACAUCCACGGAAGUUUUCAGAGAUGAGAAUGUGCCUUCGGGAACCGUGAGACAGGUGCUGCAUGGCUGUCGUCAGCUCGUGUUGUGAAAUGUUGGGUUAAGUCCCGCAACGAGCGCAACCCUUAUCCUUUGUUGCCAGCGGUCCGGCCGGGAACUCAAAGGAGACUGCCAGUGAUAAACUGGAGGAAGGUGGGGAUGACGUCAAGUCAUCAUGGCCCUUACGACCAGGGCUACACACGUGCUACAAUGGCGCAUACAAAGAGAAGCGACCUCGCGAGAGCAAGCGGACCUCAUAAAGUGCGUCGUAGUCCGGAUUGGAGUCUGCAACUCGACUCCAUGAAGUCGGAAUCGCUAGUAAUCGUGGAUCAGAAUGCCACGGUGAAAUAUGUUCCCGGGCCUUGUACACACCGCCCGUCACACCAUGGGAGUGGGUUGCAAGAGAAGUAGGUAGCUUAACCUUCGGGAGGGCGCUUACCACUUUGUGAUUCAUGACUGGGGUGAAGUCGUAACAAGGUAACCGUAGGGGAACCUGCGGUUG